AUGUUCAGAUUAGCCAUGCAUGUCUCAGCAUAAGCUUCUAUACGGCGAAACUGCGAAUGGCUCAUUAAAACAGUUAUAGUUUAUUUGGUGGUCAGCAAUUACAUGGAUAACCGUGGUAAUUCUAGAGCUAAUACAUGCGCCCAAACCCGACUUCGUGGAAGGGUUGUGUUUAUUAGAUACAGAACCAACCCAGGCUCCGCCUGGCCUUGAGGUGAUUCAUAAUAACCGAACGAAUCGCAUGGCUAUGCCGGCGAUAGACCAUUCAAGUUUCUGACCUAUCAGCUAUCGUCGGUAGGGUAUUGGCCUACCGUGGCAAUGACGGGUAACGGAGAAUUAGGGUUCGAUUCCGGAGAGGGAGCCUGAGAAACGGCUACCACAUCUAAGGAAGGCAGCAGGCGCGCAAAUUACCCAAUCCUGACGCAGGGAGGUAGUGACAAGAAAUAACAAUACAGGGCAUACAUGUCUUGUAAUUGGAAUGAGUAAACUUUAAAUCACUUUAC
rnacentral:rRNA from 1 species